AGAGUUUGAUCCUGGCUCAGGAUGAACACUGGCGGCGUGUCUAAGGCAUGCAAGUCAAUCCCGCUUCGGCGGGAGGCAGACGGGUGAGUAACACAUUGGUAACCUGCCCCAAUCUCGGGUAUAAUCCAGCGAAAGUUGGAAUAAUCCCCGAUAGUCUCCGACUUUAUGUCGGAGUAAAGGUUUAGAGCAAUCUAUUCCGGAUUGGGAGGGGCCUAUGGCUGAUUAGUUUGCUGGUAAGGUAAUGGCUUACCAAGGCGAUGAUCAGUAGCGGGCGUGAGAGCGCGACCCGCCUCAUAGGGACUGAGACACUGCCCUGACUCCUACGGGAGGCUGUAGUCAAGAAUCUUCCACAAUGCCCGCAAGGGUGAUGGAGCGACGCCGCGUGAUUGAAGAAGCCCUUCGGGGUGUAAAGAUCUUUUCUGAAGGACGAACGUUGACGGUACUUCAGGAAUAAGGGGUGGCUAAAUUCGUGCCAGAAGCCUCGGUAAUACGAAUGCCCCUAGCGUUAUCCGGAUUUAUUGGGCGUAAAGCGUCCGCAGGUGGUUUGAAAAGUCUCGCUUCAAAUCUUAGUGCUCAACAUUAAGACCGGGCGAGAAACUUUUAAACUAGAGGUUGGGAGAGGCGAGUGGAAUGGCUGGUGUAGGGGUUAAAUCCGUUAGUAUCAGCUAGAACACCAAAAGCGAAGGCAGCUCGCUGGAACACACCUGACACUCAUGGACGAAAGCGUGGGUAGCGAACGGGAUUAGAUACCCCGGUAGUCCACGCCGUAACGAUGGACACUAGGCAUUGGCAGUAUC
rnacentral:rRNA from 1 species